rnacentral:tRNA from 1 species
CCGUUUGACUAACAGAAAGAAAUCCGUAAAAUGCACCCCGUUAUUUGGUGCUACCAAAUAGUGAUGCGGGAAUAGC